GUGCAUUCCAGUGCCUGACUACCCUUUCUGAGAAGUAAUACUUCCUAAUGUUCAGACUGAAUCUCCCCUGGCGCAGCUUAAAACCAUUCCCUCUAGUUCUGUUAUUGAUUACACGAGAAAAUUAGGCAGUAUUUAAACUGGUUGCUUUUUGUUAGUUAGUUAGUUUGUUUGUUUGUUUUUUGUUAUUUUUUGAGAAUGAUUGCUAUGUCAUGAUUUAUAGCGGGCAGGAGGGGCUGUCCCAUUGUCACAAUAGGAAAAGCAAACUACAGUGUUCAGGAUAUACAUUGUGCUGCUGAGCUUCCAGAGCAGAACAUAAAAUACUGCCUAAACCUCACAGUUCAUCCUGGGCCAGAGGCAUUCUACUGAUGCUGUCUGGAAGUAUAGUUAAAUCCUCAUAAGAUCCAUGUGAUAACAUGAAGCAAUGUGUUUUGGUCUAAGGAGGGGGGAAAGAAAGAGUAAACACAUUAGUCUAUAGCUUAUUAAAGUAACAAACUCUGUGAAAUAAUAAAUAUAUAUAUUUCUCUCCAGCAGUUGCCAGGGGAUUGAAGGAAUAGUUCUGGACCACACAUAGUGUGUGAAAGAUUAUACAAAAUGAGGUUAAUUAUUUAACGACAAACUUAUUGCUGUUCCAAGAAACAGUACAAAGUAAGUUCUUUCUGUCAUUUCAAUUCUUGGCCUCAUCAGGGAAUCACAUUAAUUGCCCUAACACUUCAAAUUCCUCAUGCAGUUAUGCAAAACUUAGAUCUGUUAAUCAUGUACUUUACAGUGCAGUCAUGUGUCCUAGUCCCUCCGUGCAAUGCAUUUACAGUGGAUGAAACCUGUAGAAAUGUAUAAAUUAACUUCAGUAUUUUUGGCCUAAUUUGCCUCUGCCAUUGCUCUCAAUGGAAUUGUGAUAAGCCAUUUUGAAGACUACAUGUUAAAAGAAUCAAGAGCUUUUAAGUUUUUAUUUAUCCCAAAGUAAGCAAAGUAUUGGCUUGUGACAUUUGUGAUUUAAGAUUUUCCCAGAUAAAUGCUAUUUAUAAAACUGACUUUUAACACCUAUAAUGGAGUUUAUUAUGGAAAACUGAUGAUUGAGUAUACCACAAAGGCAUCUCGUGUGCUUCCAUUUUCUUUUAAGACUGAAUGAUAAAAGGGUAAUUUGAACACAUUAUCUAUCACAUAUUUUCUGAUUUUAUAAGCUGUUGAACUGCCACCAGAUACAAUAUCUCAGGAAAUACAUGGCUGAGAGUUCUAAUAUGUUUGGAGCAAAGCCUACUGCAUUGCUUUGUUAGCUAUUUACUGAAAACUUUUCCAAAAAUAAAAGGAUUUAACACAACGGAUUUUGCCUUGCU
rnacentral:lncRNA from 1 species